rnacentral:rRNA from 1 species
GUAGCGGCGAGCGAAACGGAAAGAGCCCAAACCAAGAAGCUUGCUUCUUGGGGUUGUAGGACACUCUAUACGGAGUUACAAAAGAAAGUUAUAAAUGAAGCGGUCUGGAAAGGCCCGCCAAAGACGGUAACAGCCCGGUAGUUGAAAUGGCUUUCCCUCCAGAGUGGAUCCUGAGUACGGCGGAACACGUGAAAUUCCGUCGGAAUCCGGGAGGACCAUCUCCCAAGGCUAAAUACUCCCUAGUGACCGAUAGUGAACCAGUACCGUGAGGGAAAGGUGAAAAGCACCCCGGAAGGGGAGUGAAACAGUUCCUGAAACCGUGUGCCUACAAGUAGUUAGAGCCCGUUAAUGGGUGAUAGCGUGCCUUUUGUAGAAUGAACCGGCGAGUUACGAUUUGUUGCAAGGUUAAGCGGAAAAAGCGGAGCCGUAGCGAAAGCGAGUCUGAAUAGGGCGCAUAAGUAACAGGUCGUAGACCCGAAACCAGGUGAUCUACCCAUGUCCAGGAUGAAGGUAAGGUAAUACUUACUGGAGGUCCGAACCCACGCACGUUGAAAAGUGCGGGGAUGAGGUGUGGGUAGCGGAGAAAUUCCAAUCGAACUUGGAGAUAGCUGGUUCUCUCCGAAAUAGCUUUAGGGCUAGCCUCGAGGUAAAGAGUCAUGGAGGUAGAGCACUGUUUGGACUAGGGGCCCUUCUCGGGUUACCGAAUUCAGAUAAACUCCGAAUGCCAUGUACUUAUACUCGGGAGUCAGACUGCGAGUGAUAAGAUCCGUAGUCGAAAGGGAAACAGCCCAGACCACCAGUUAAGGUCCCCAAAUAUAUGUUAAGUGGAAAAGGAUGUGGGGUUGCUUAGACAACCAGGAUGUUGGCUUAGAAGCAGCCACCAUUGAAAGAGUGCGUAAUAGCUCACUGGUCGAGUGACCCCGCGCCGAAAAUGUACCGGGGCUAAACAUAUUACC